rnacentral:lncRNA from 1 species
ACAAAAGACGAGUUCAGCUUUGUAACAAAAACAAAAGAGUUUUAUUCUGAUUUAUUAGAGUUACUAGAUUUUGACCCGCCCUUAAAAGAGCGGAUAUAUUUUUUGUUUUACAUUUUUUGAGAAAUUUUAUUUUUAUAUUUAUGUUUUUUAAUCGUAUUUGUGUGUUUUUUGUAUAAUAUUUCUCUUAAAUGAUUAAUAAGAGUUUUAAUAAUUGUAUUAAAAUAGUUGGAUCACACCUAUAUGUCAUGGUGAUGUUUUAAUAGUUCUAAUUAUAGUUUAAAAUUCUAAAAAAAAAAAGUUUAAGAGUUCUAAUUCUAGUUUGUUGUGUUCGUACCCGUUAACAAUUAUAUUUUUUUUUCUGUAUCUUAAAAUUUGAGAGAAAACAAAUAAAAACCGAAAAUGAAAUAAAUAAUAAUAAUAAUAAAAAUAAAAAUAUAAAACAACAACUAUAAAUUGACACUUUCUCUUAUACAUC